AAUUCAGAAAAGCUGCCGGGUUUUGUUCCCCUUACUUUUUCAGCUUUCAACCCAGACACCUGAAGAAAGUCCGAAGUCGAAAGAUAUUACCAACGCCCAAACCUUCCUUAGAUUUCUCUGCCUCCGUUAUUCUUUCUCUCUCCCGCCGGCCAUGAGUCUCUUCGGUCUGGGCAGAAACCAGAGGACAUUCCGCCCAAAAAAGAGUGCACCCUCAGGGAGUAAGGGGGCGCAACUCAGAAAGCACAUUGAUGCCACCCUAGGUAGUGGAAACCUGAGGGAAGCAGUAAAACUUCCUACUGGAGAGGAUUUAAAUGAGUGGCUUGCUGUCAACACUGUCGAUUUCUUCAACCAAGUGAAUUUGCUCUUUGGUACGCUCACAGAGUUCUGUACUGAUGAGAAUUGUCCAACAAUGACUGCAGGCCCCAAAUACGAGUACAGAUGGGCAGAUGGUGAAAAAAUAAAGAAACCUAUUGAGGUUUCUGCUCCGAAAUAUGUUGAACUUUUGAUGGACUGGAUUGAAGGCCAGCUUGAUAAUGAAUCUAUAUUUCCUCAAAGGCUUGGGGCACCCUUUCCUCCCAAUUUCAAGGAUGUUGUGAAGACAAUAUUCAAAAGAUUGUUCCGCGUAUAUGCCCACAUCUAUCACUCUCAUUUCCAAAAAAUUGUAAGCCUCAAGGAGGAGGCCCAUCUAAACACGUGCUUUAAGCAUUUCAUACUAUUUACUUGUGAAUGUGGAAGGGGGUUCCUACAUUUUUUAUUGGUAAUAAAUGGUCAUUGAUAAGGACAAAAGACAACUUAGGUACACGGAGUAUACAAGAGAGACACCUACAUACAAGGAAUUUGGGCUAAUUGACAGAAAAGAGCUGGCUCCACUUCAAGAGCUCAUAGAUUCCAUAAUUGUUCCUUACUAAAUGGAUUGGGUUAUCCUGUAAAACAUAAUGAUGUAUUAGGGAAACUUGAUUGAGCUAAAUGAAAUAAAUGCUGCUCAACUGUAUGACUCUAGGGAUUCUCUCAAGUUGCUUUUAUUACAAAUUCAUGUGCUUGUGCUGUA